rnacentral:tRNA from 1 species
GCCUGGCUGGCUCAGCCGGUAGAGCGUGCCGUCCGGGUCGUGAGUGCGAGCCCCAUGCUGGGGGCAGAGUUUACUUAAACUAAAAACAGAGGCGCCUGCGCGGCUCAGUCAGUUAACGUCCAACUGUUGGUUUCAGCUCAGGUCAUGCUCUUGGGGUCGUGGGAUCGAGUCCCACGUCGGGCU